UACGUAGGGGGCGAGCGUUGUCCGGAGUUACUGGGCGUAAAGGGCAUGCAGGCGGUCGGACGCGUUUCGGGUGACAGCGGGUGGCUUAACUACCCGAGUGGUCGAAAGACGGUUUGACUUGAGGACGCGAGAGGGACACGGAAUUCCGGGUGGAGUGGUGAAAUGCGUAGAGAUCCGGAGGAACACCGAAGGCGAAGGCAGUGUCCUGGCGCGUAACUGACGCUGAGGAGCGAAAGCGUGGGGAGCGAACAGG
rnacentral:rRNA from 1 species